ACGGAAGGCAGCAGUGGGGAAUAUUGCACAAUGGGGGAAACCCUGAUGCAGCAACGCCGCGUGAGUGAAGAAGUAUUUCGGUAUGUAAAGCUCUAUCAGCAGGGAAGAUAAUGACGGUACCUGACUAAGAAGCUCCGGCUAAAUACGUGCCAGCAGCCGCGGUAAUACGUAUGGAGCAAGCGUUAUCCGGAUUUACUGGGUGUAAAGGGUGCGUAGGCGGCAUGGCAAGUCAGAAGUGAAAGACCGGGGCUCAACCCCGGGGCUGCUUUUGAAACUGCUGUGCUUGAGACCAGGAGGGGCAAGCGGAAUUCCUAGUGUAGCGGUGAAAUGCGUAGAUAUUAGGAAGAACACCGGUGGCGAAGGCGGCUUGCUGGACUGGAUCUGACGCUGAGGCACGAAAGCGUGGGGAGCAAACAGGAUUAGAUACCCUGGUA
rnacentral:rRNA from 1 species